UACAGGGGGUGCAAACGUUGCUCGGAAUUAUUGGGCGUAAAGCGCGCGUAGGCGGCCACUUAAGUCGGAUGUGAAAGCCCCUGGCUCAACUGGGGAAGUGCACCCGAAACUGAAUGGCUUGAAUGCAAAAGAGGGUCGCGGAAUUCCCGGUGUAGAGGUGAAAUUCGUAGAUAUCGGGAGGAACACCGGUGGCGAAGGCGGCGACCUGGGUUGACAUUGACGCUGAGGCGCGAAAGUGUGGGGAGCGAACAGG
rnacentral:rRNA from 1 species